UGACUCUCCCACAGCGUCCGGUCCUGGCUGAAGUUAGAAGAGCUACGCUUUCACAUCCCGCAUCUAAGAUGCGGUACAAAGCACGAGGCCCUGAGCCCAAGAAGCCGAGUGUUCCUGCGGAGGGGGAGUUUUUGGGAAUUCGCAGCACUACUUCUAAGGGGCCAUUAAUCUCUCUCCCGCCCAGGGCUCCAGGACCCUCAACUUGUUCGAAAGCCAGAUGGAGCAAGCUGUAGAAAGGGGGUGCUGGGGCGGAGUUAAGGCAAGAGAGUGGGAGGAGAUGGGGCAUCCGCGUGUGGGGAAUGGAGCGGAGAGCCACCCGAACUGGGGGCGUUGUGAUGGCGGGGGCUACAGCCUUCUGAGACCCGAGUGGGCAGGUUUGCACCUUCUGGGCGGAGCAAGGCGGGUGGCCCAGGGUCGCAGGGCCGGGGAAUGUGGCAGUCAUCGGCGCUGCUGCGGGUGAGUGUAUCCUGCGGAAGGAAGAAGGCAGGGUACCGAAUCUGGGGAUGCAGGACCGCUAUGGGGAGCCCCGCCCACAGUGCGCAGCCAUCAGCCAGGCUCUGGGACACUCUGGGGGACUUGGGCGCUCAGUGGGGGAAAUCUAGCUGCCCACGGCAGCGGGAGGGACAGGACAUUUGGGGAGAGCAGGGGUUUAUAUGCUACCUGGAAGCAGUCUGUGAACGUACAUUGGAUGAAGUUAGGGAAUGAAUGAUGGCCUUAGUGGUUCGUGGAGAUGGGGGCACAAUAAGGAGUGGUGGGCUAGGAGAAAGGGAAGCUGUGGAAACCUGCAAGCAGGUUUAAAUCCGAGCCCUACUGGGGCCACCCCAAGGCUUGAAAUCACCUCUCCACUCUGGAUGCUGGAGUUAAGGCUCUCGUUCCUCACCUGGGGUUUGGAAUAUGCCCAGAGUAGGAUUUCAGAGCUGGAAGAGGCCUCAUGUUCUGGAAAAGACGUGUGUGGUCCAAGCCCUCCUGCCUGAGACAGCAGUCAGAGAGGGAAAGACUGCCCCGGAAUGGAUUUAGGAACCCAGGACUCUUGACAAAGACUGCUAAUUCAGCAGCUGGCAGCUGGGGAGCGGACUGCCUGAUUCCUCUGCGGUUCCACAGUUUCUCCAGGGAGGAUUGGAGAGUCCUGGGUGCCUCCCUGUGGGAUGGUGGCACCCUCUGCUGGUCGUGAGCCUUGUGGUGGAACUAUCUCCAGACUCAAAGCCGUCUGGUGCUCGGCGCCACCUGGAAACCUUGCCAUAUUUUGGGAUCCCAUACAGCAUUUGUUCCUCCAGGAGGAUCUGUAGUGAGCUGGUAACUGAGUUCACACUGAGGAAGUUGUGAGGAGGGAGAUGCUGCCGGUUAAAAGUACUCCACAGCACGGCUCCAGAGCUCAGCCUUCUCUGCCCCACCUCCUCUUAUGCCACGCCCCUUGCCUAGCAUCUGUUCCCCUCCUCCAAUUAGCCUUACCCAGGCCUCCUGCCUCUCCAGAAUGUCCCUUACCUCCUCAUGCCUCUUAGCAAAUCCCCUGUGGAUCUGCUCCUGAGAAAUCUAUACUUCGUCUGCAACUUAUGUCGAAGCAGGUGUCUUGUUCCCAGGGAGUUCAUGUUUCCCAGUUCUUUGGCUCCAGCUGCUCCAUCCUAAGAUGGGGUUUAAGGGUGGGGGGAGGGGAGACCUGGGUAGCAUGGGAUUAGUAGAGGCUGUCUAACGGACAAAGCCCCUUCUCACUUCUUUAAGGACAACCCCUUGCCAAGUCUCCCACCAAUCCACAAUUCCCUGUGACCCCACAGACCUGCUUAAGUUCUGGGGAACCCUCGGAAAGUUGGAGCACUAGAGCUGCGAAAGUUCAGACGCUGUAGAGUCCCAGUGAGUCAGUUACUUCAGGGCACAGAACUAGCAAGGAUGAAUAAAUAGCUCUAUG
rnacentral:lncRNA from 1 species